rnacentral:misc_RNA from 1 species
AAAAUGCACAGAAGAAUAUCACUAUUGGCAGAAUAUGAAUGAAAACCGAACCUUGUGGAAAUUGGGGACGUUGCCUCCUGGUUUAAUCACAUUCUACUCCACAACAAAGCCACUAGACAAGACAUGGCAUGUCCUUGGACUUGGUUACAAUCCCAGCAUCAGCAAGGGCGAGAUUGAAAAUGCUGCAGUUGUGCACUUCAAUGGGAACAUGAAACCCUGGCUAGACAUUGCCAUCACUCAAUUUCGGCCAUAUUGGACCAAGUAUGUG